rnacentral:rRNA from 1 species
GAUGAACGCUGGCGGCGUGCUUAACACAUGCAAGUCGAACGGAGUGGCGAACGGGUGAGUAACACGUGAGUAACCUGUCCUUUUUUUUGGGAUAAGCUUCCGAAAGGGUGUUUAAUACCUUAUAGGGUGGGCUCGGGGUCUAUCAGCUUGUUGGUGGGGUGAUGGCCUACCAAGGCUUUGGAGGGUAGCCGGCCUGAGAGGGGGGUCGGUCAGAAGGGGACUGAGAUGCGGCCCAGACUCCUGCGGGAGGCAGCAGGGGGGGAGAUUGGACAAUGGGCGAAAGCCGGAUGCAGCGACGCCGGGUGGGGGAUGGAGGCCUUCGGGUUGUAAACUUAUUUUGCUCUGAACGGGAAGGGGGAGAUUAGCGCCGGCUAACUACGUGCCAGCCGCCGCGGUAAUAG